CGUGCGGGAUCUGCGCGGCGGUCAGGAAGUGCACGUGCGCGUCGAUUCCACCGGGGGUGGCGACCAGCCCCUCUCCGGAGAUCGCCUCGGUGCCCGCACCGAUCACCAGGUUCGGGUCCACCCCGUCCUGGAGGUAGGGGUUGCCGGCCUUGCCGAUUCCGGCGAUCCGCCCGUCCUUGAUGCCGAUGUCGGCCUUGACGAUCCCCAGCACGGGAUCCAUCACGAUCACCGCGGUGAUCACGGUGUCCAGGACGCCGUCGGCGUUGCGCAGUCCUGGAACCUGCCCCAUCCCGUCCCGGAG
rnacentral:sRNA from 1 species